rnacentral:rRNA from 1 species
GCUGGCGGCGGGCUUAACACAUGCAAGUCGAAGGAGAAGGUAGAAGCUUGCUUUUACUGGAGACUGGCGGACGGGUGAGUAACGCGUAGAUAACCUGCCUAUAGCUGGGGGAUAACACUGCGAAAGUGGUGCUAAUACCGCAUAAUGCAGCGGGGCCGCAUGGCCAUAGUUGUUAAAGGUUUCGACCGGCUAUAGAUGGGUCUGCGUGCUAUUAGUUAGUUGGUAGGGUAACGGCCUACCAAGGCGAUGAUAGCUAGGGGGUCUGAGAGGAUGAUCCCCCACACUGGGACUGAGACACGGCCCAGACUCCUACGGGAGGCAGCAGUGAGGAAUCUUGCGCAAUGGGCGAAAGCCUGACGCAGCCACGCCGCGUGCCGGAUGAAGGCCCUAUGGGUUGUAAACGGCUUUUACUAGGGAAGAACGAGAGGGUUUCGAUCUUCUGUGACGGUACCUAGUGAAUAAGCACCGGCUAACUCCGUGCCAGCAGCCGCGGUAAUACGGAGGGUGCAAGCGUUGUCCGGAAUCAUUGGGUGUAAAGGGUACGUAGGCGGGAGCCUAAGUCUGGGGUGAAAUCUUGCCGCUUAACGGUAAAAUGGCCCUGGAUACUGGGUUUCUUGAGUGCAGAAGAGGCAGGUGGAAUUCGUGGUGUAGCGGUGAAAUGCUUA